rnacentral:lncRNA from 1 species
GUCAAGAAUAAAACCAUUGUCUCCUGAGGUAUAAUAGAAACUGAAAAGAAACAAUCAAAGUCUGGAAAACAUCAUGGAGUGGAGUUGAGAUACAGCUGGGAGAGGAACCUAAUUCUGUAGUGUUAUCUCAGCAGUCCAAUACCUGAGUCAGGCUUCUCUUUUUUAUUUUUCAAGUGGUGUCUUUCUGAUAUUGUGACAAGUAAUCUGUGAAAAAUGUGGAAGUGAUAAAAGAAAAAGAAAUUGUUUACAGCUGGACAGUCAAAGCCAAGAGGUUGCUUGUCCCAGGUGACAGAGGAUGCCUGUGUGGUCUUUCACAUCCAUCGAGGAGUAAGCUUUUUAACCAUCUGGGUGCAAAACAGCUUAGAUUAGAAAUGCUGAAUUAUCCAGGAGGAUUUAGCCUUUCAGCAAGAAGGAGCCAUUUCAGCCUAACACCAGGCUGGUAUCUUCAGCUGAGUUCAAGCAUGAGCUGUGUCUGUGUGCAGGACCCUUCUGUUAUCAUACUUUAACUUUUCUGUGCCCAGACUCUGAAAAUCUGUGUAAUUCCAGGCUCCUCCAGAUCCCAGCUGUGGAAUUAACCUAAAUUACCUAGAGAAGCUGUGGCUGCAUCUGCAUUACAUAUUGUCUGUGUCUCCUGUGGUCUAAAAUGUAGGUAGUGCAGAGCUGGGACAGUUUUGCUCUGUGCAUUGCAGACACAAGAAAACCCAGCCUCACCAAGAGACUCCCAGAGCUGCUGUGCUGGAUGGACAAGGCAGAGAUGCUGGAUUUCUUGGAAUAACACACAGCUCAGAGAUGAAGACAAAAAUCUACAUUUUGAUUAUUUUUCAGGAGUGAGAGGUGACCCAUUAUGAGCAAGGAAAGCCAUAAUUUGUUUUCUAGGUAACUCCCUUUUGGUUUCAAAGGAGAGUGAGGCUUACCACUCCAUGAUGUAGCAAGGCUGUAGGAAUGAAAGCAGGAGCUACAACAGAUAAAAAGUGGUGAAGAGAAAACAAAGUGAAGCCUACCAGACCUCAGCUAAAAUAUUUUAGUGUAAUCUCCAGCAUGCUACCAAGAGAUGAAAUGCAGCAGAUCACUGCGCAUGAGAACUCUACUAAAUGAAAUCAUACAGUGCAGCAGUCAAAAACACGUGGGGUGAGAGCUGAGCAGAAGUGAAAGUAAUUUCCUCUGUGCCUGCUGCCCAUGAUGGAGAUUAUUGCUGCAUGGAACCACACAUGGGCAACCGAACAACAAGGGCCACAGCUCCUGUGCCUGCAAAUAGAGUGCAAGGGACACAGAGUAAUUUUGAAAAAUUUCUUGUUCAGCAGCAGUUGCUGCCA